AUACGGAGGGUGCAAGCGUUAUCCGGAAUCAUUGGGUUUAAAGGGUUCGCAGGCGGCGUAUUAAGUCAGUGGUGAAAUCCCGAGGCUCAACCUCGGAACUGCCAUUGAUACUGGUAUGCUAGAGUAUAGUUGGCGUUGGCGGAAUGUAUCAUGUAGCGGUGAAAUGCUUAGAUAUGAUACAGAACACCGAUCGCGAAGGCAGCUAACGAAACUAUAACUGACGCUCAGGAACGAAAGCGUGGGGAGCGAACAGGAUUAGAAACCCCAGUAGUCC
rnacentral:rRNA from 1 species